UUCGUGAAUGCAAAGACAAAUUUCAAUGCCUCACGUCCUAACCCUUCGCGAUCUCGAAAUAUCUAUGGCGAACGCGAAGGUCAAAAACCUACAACACCAACAACAGUUUUUCUGCAAUUUCUUUCAAUAUGAAAUGAUCCGUUUAACCACCCAAAACUCACCUGAGGCCCUCGGGACCUCAACCAAACCAUCCAACAUAUCCCAUAACAUCAUUCAAACUUGUUCCAACCUUCGGAACGCUAAAAACAACAUCCAAACACCAAAUUUGCAUCGGAUUCAAGCCUAAGAAUGCCAAAAUCUUCCAAAUUCCGAUUUCGAUCAAAAAGUCUAUCAAACCACGUCCGAAUGACAUAAAAUUUUGCACACACAUCGCAAAUGACACAACGGACCUACUGCAACUCCCAAAAUUCUAUUCCGACCCCUAUAUCAAAAUUUCACCUACCAACCGAAAAAUGCCAAAAUUCUAGUUUCGCUAAUUCAAGCCCAAAUCUACUCCACACCUCCAAACCACAUUUUGAUCUCGCUCCUAAGUCCCAAAUCACCUCCCGAAGCUAUCCGAACCAUCAGAAUUCACAUCCGAGCCCUUUUUCACAUAAGUCAAUAUCCAUUUGACUUUUUCAACUUAAGCUUCCUCAAAAGAGACUAAGUGUCUCAAACCUUACCAAAACCUUUCCUAAACCGAGCCAACCAACCCGAUAACAUAAAAUACAGCUGAACAAGGCAAUAAGAAGUAUAAAUGGGGGAAGUGGAGCGGUAACUCAUAAGAUGAUCGGCCGGGUUGUUAAACUCGGUUGCACUUCGAAUGAGGUGGAGUCUUACCCAUCCUUCGAUGAAGGCCAAUCUCGUCUGCUGUGAGGGCUCGUCAACUGAUUAUCUAUACCUGCAGGCAUGAUCGCAGCAUCCCCAGCAAAAGGACAUCAGUACGAAUAAUGUACUAAGUAUGUAAGGCAUGUGAAUAAGUAUACAAAGGACAUGGAAGAAACAUGGAGUAAAGGACUCAAUCUGUAUAUCUUGAUAGAUCUAUAAAUUAUGAAAUAUUUAUAAAGUCAUGCAUAUGCGUGUAAAUGUCAUGUAAUGCAUAGAUCUGUACGUACAUAUCAUCGAGCCUCUGAGGACAUCCAAUUAUAUCAUUUCAGCCAUUGUGGGCAACAUCAUCAUCGUAUACCAGCUGAUCAGGUGGUGGUGCGUAUAUAGUGCCAUAACCUUUUCUCGUAUCCCAUAUACAUAUAUAUACAUAUAUACACGUAUA
rnacentral:lncRNA from 1 species